rnacentral:lncRNA from 1 species
CUGCAAAGUUGCUCGUCAAACUCUGAAACUAGAGGGUGUGAUGUUGAAGGGAAACUGUUGGAGCGAGCGUGGAAGGUGGUGGCUGCCAUUUUUUAUGUUUGCUGGUGAAUAUGAGAAAGAUGAGAGAAGUUUUUUCUCUUGAAAGCGUGAGAGAGUUAGAUGUAGAUGAGAUGAUAUGGCUGAUCACAACAGCAAGUUUAUAUAGAGGAUGAGAAAAAGGAGGAAGGCUGAAGAAUUGAAGGGAGCACCAAAGAGACAGGAGGAAUCAAAAGCUAAAGCAUAUUAUAUUUCCCAUGUGCAUUCUUCUGUGGGUUGAUGCAUAUGAUUUUGGAUCCAACAAAAUGCUAACAGUUUUGUCUAAGAAAUGUCCCUAGCCUACCAAAUACUCCAGCUCAUUUGUCCUCAGUUUAGUUCAUUGAUCAUUCAGGCAGUGAUGGAGCAAUGAAGGGAGGCAAGAUCCUUGUAUGCUGCUGCAACAUUGAAAUUGUUUAUUGCUUUCUUUCUGUCAUGUUUCUGAGAUUGGAAACUGUGGUUAUGGAACCAUGAACUUGAAAAAAAAUGGACAGCCACUCGAGUGCCUCUUAUAUUUCAUGUUUUAUAUUCAAGUGAAUAUAGCAGGUAUCAACAUUAUCUUCACCAAACAACUGGAUCAAAUUGCGGACCAGCAUGUCGGUAGCAGCUGACAUGAAGAUAGAAGCUGAUGACCCUUUUAGGCUUUUUCAGAUGUGAAGGUAUUUGAGCUGUGGAGUUGUGUUUGCUUCAAAUAUAAGAAAGUUGGUGCCUUUUAUGAGAUUUUCAGAUCAAACAGAAUCUCAACUCUUUAACUCAUAAUCCAUGGAAUAAGAUAUUGAUUCUCCCAACCUCCAAAAUCAUGGCUAAUUAAUGAACCACACGAGCAGGUAAUGGAAUAUUUAAUUCAUUCUCCUACCCCCAUGAAGAAUCUGUGAUUAAAUUAAUAUCCACUCGUGGCUGAAGGCAUCAUCUGUCUUUGGUAUUAAACUAUGACUUCAUCAUAUUGGAGCUUAACCAGUUGUGUCAACUAAUAUAGUUUCUGUUGAAGUUUUUUUAUCCAAAUUGUUAGAUUCAUAUCUUCCACCAUGAUUGCUUAUGUUAAUUAAACAGCAGUCAGAACACGCCGAAUCAUAGUCACCUUGAAUUUUUUGUUUUUCAAAUUUGUAGAAGAAGAGAAAUUUAUUUGAGUAAUUCCCAUGUUCUUGCCAGUUCAUCUCCAGGAUAAGCAUGCUGAAUGUAUACUGAUCUGAGGCAUUGUGACUAUACAUAAUCUGCACAGAUUCAACAAGUUGAUGUGUUAAUGGAGGGCAAGAUCCACUUAUUUAGAUUUCUAAACGUGUAUGAUCAGGCCCUUCUAAAAUGAAGGAAAACUUGAAAGAGAACGUGCUAAUGAUCCCUGACCAGAAGACAAGCCAGCAGUAUCCUUCAUUGCAUUUGAAUGUGUGAUGAGUAAUGAUCAUCUCUUAGCAUUAUUUAUUUGGAAUUUUCUAUCUUCCCAUGUGGCUGCUCCUUCAGUUUUUUCAUCAGUUCUAAAUCUUAGAAUGGAAGGGUAAUUAGUCCAGAUAAACUAUGAUCAGUAAUUAGUCCAGAUAACAGCGAAGAGAGACAGGAGUUUGCAGUAACUCGGAGACCAUGUAUAUUGAUGGAUUUGAGUAUCAAAAUUGUUUCUUUUCUACAACUGGUUCAUGUACAAGAAUGGCUAUCUACGGUAAUUUUACAGAUUGUGAACAUUGAGAAUGGAUGCUCUUGUUUUGAUGAGACACCUAAAGAGUGACUCAACUCCUUCUUCAAGAUCUUGAAUGCAUGGCUGCAAGUUUUUCAGUUGAGCUUGGAUUUCCUCAGUGGAUUUGCUCGUCUUCAAACAGGCAUCGACUUCAGCAAAUUCAUUUGAGUUUUCAGAAACUUGAGUCUUCUUGGAUGCAAUCAGCUUGGAAACCAAUGACCAGCUGCUUGACUUGGAGUUUGAUUGGCAAAUGAAACACAACAAGUUCUCCAACACCUCAAGAACAAUGGAUUCAGCUUCUCUUAACAUGUCGAUUGCAUCACCGUUGUUGGAUGAGGGGGGGUUCCUCUGAUUUCUUGGUUUCAUAACCCUUGAAGGCCUUUUGAAUUGCUUUCUUCACAAUCUUCCUUGAGUUGAGGUAUCUCUUGGUUUCUGCUGCCAGAUCGCCUUGCCUUCUGCGAAUGGCGGAUUGAAGUUCAUAAACCGAUUCUUUCAUUUGAGACAAGACAUCCUUGGCUGUGUUGCACAUAUCCAACACUCUCAAGGAACCAUCUAGCAGCUCAUUUUGGUCAUGGAUCAUGGCUUGUUGAGUUGAUGGGAGUUGAAUCAACUUGUCAACACACUCAUACACAUCCUGAAGGCCAUUAAGGUUUUGGCUAGUGGAUGAUGAUGAAGUGGAAGCAGCUUGAGAUUGUCUCAACCUGCAAAUUUGCUCGUCGAACUCGGAAACUAGAGGGUGUGUCCUUGAUGGGAAACUGUUUGAUCGAGCGUGGAAGGUGGUGGAUGCCAUUUUUUUUAUCUGAAUAGAAGAUGUGGAAGUUUUUGCCUCUUUUAUGUUUGAGGUUGAGAGAGGUUGAUGAAGAUGAGAUGAAAUGGCUUCACAACAACAAGUAUAUAUAGAGGAUGGGAACAAAGGAGGAAGGUUGAAGACUUGAAGGGGACAUAAAGAGACAGGAGGAAUCAAAGGCAAACCAUCUUAUUUUUCCAUGUGCAUUAUUAAGUUGUUUAUACAUAUGAUUUCGGAAUCCGGAUCCGAUAAUAUCUCAACAGUUUGGUCUAAGAAAUGCCCCCUGCCCACCAAAUGUUCCAGCUCAUUUGGCAUCAUUGUACGAUUGAAGCAGUGAUGGAGUAAUGAAGGGAGGCAAGAUCCUUGUAUGCUGCUGCUACAUUGAGUUUGUUUAUUACUUUUUUCUGUCAUGUUUCCUUGAAUGAUAUUAUUAAAUUUGUUUAUAGCAUAGGUUAGUGACUAAAAAGCAAGUCUCAGAAAAAUGGCAUAGGUUAGUGAAGCCCCACGAGUUCCUCAAGUCGAUAUCUACUGAUGAUGAGGCUAAAGAUUGGUAAUGAUCAACUUGGUUCUGAUUUCUUUAAUGCAACAGUGAGCUUUCUGUGUACCUUUUAUCUUUGAGGCUUCAUUUUGUUAAUGAAUAACGAUAAAACCUAUCUGAAUUCUCUCCUAACAACUCAAGUUAUUGGGAUGCAAUUUUUCAUGACACAUUCUGUUCAGGAAAUGCCAGGCUUAGGAUAGUUCAUUUGCACUAGAAACUGAAAUUAUUCAGAUGCAGAUUCAGAAGCCUUCUAAUGUGCGGAAUUGGAAUUAAUCUGCGAAAAUGCCAACCAUAAACCAAUAUAUCAAGGACUGUGGAGAUAGCUACUUUUUUUUCUUAAGCUUACCAUUUUUCAUUCGCAUUUAUCGUAUUUACUUACAUCCAGACUAACAGUUCAAGAUUUAAUGAUGAAGAUAGUAACAACACUCUAUGGAAUCAAUUUAUCUUGUUUGAAGGGUACAAUGUGCAUGUAACCAGCUGUGUAAGAAGAUAAGGGUGAAUCUUAUAGUUUCUAAACUAAUGGAAGCUUGGUUAGAGUGCCAGAUCAUCCCCACGAGUGCCCUUGAAUGCAGGCGUGCUAAGUGUCUGCUGAUCUGAUGCAUACAGAAUAAUAAACAGCAAAUGUUUUUGCGUUAAUGGAAGGCAAGAUCCACUAAGUUAGCUUCCUAAACGUGUUUUAGGAGCUUGUACUUGAUCCCUUACCAAAAGACAAGCCAUCACCAUUCUUCAUUGCAUUUGCAGGUUCUGACAUUGUUUAUUUGGCUUUGUCAGCCUCCCCAUGUGCAUGCCUUUGUUUAUUCAUCAGUUCAAAAAUGAUAUAAUUUUAGGUUAACCCAGAUUAAUGUCAUCUCUAGUUACUCACUUAUUGUUAUCUGCAUGCAAAAAAGUAAAUAACUUGGGACAGAAAGUGCAGUAAAGUAAAAGAGAGACACAUAGUUUAUCAGGAACUUGGAGUCAUGUAUAUUGAUGGAUUCACUAUUCACUACCAAAAUUGUUUCUUUACAGUUGGGAUCAUUUACAAGUAUGAUUUUUGAUGAUAUCAUUACAAGAUGUUGAGAAUGGAGGCUCUUGUUUUGAUGAGACACCUAAAGAGGGACUCAACUCCUUCCUCAAGAUCUUGAAUGCAUUGCUGCAAGUUUUUCAGAUGAGCUUGGACUUCCUCACUAGAUUUGCUUGUCUUCAUACAGGCAUCCACUUCUGCAAAUUCGUUUUCUGAUGCUGCAAUAACCCUUUUUUGGUUUGCCAUCAGCUUGGAGACCAAAGACCAGCUGUUUGACUUGGAGUUUGAUUGAGAAAUGAAUGACAACACGUUCUCCAACACCUCAACAACAACGGAUUCAGCUUCUCUUAACAUGUUGACUUUGUUGGAUGAGGUGGAUUUCUUGGUUUCCAUACCCUUCAAGGCCUUUUGGAUUGCUUUCUUCACAGCCUUCCUUGAGUUAAGAUAUCUUUUGGUUUCUGCUACCAGAUCUCUUUGCCUUCUACGAAUGGCAGACUGAAGUUCACAAACCGACUCUUUCGUUUGAGACAAGGCAUCCCUGGCUGUGUUGCAUAGAUCCAAGAGUCUUAGAGAUCCUUCUAAUAGCUCAUUUUGGUCAUGGAUCAUGGCUUGCUGAGUUGAUGGAAGUUGAAUCAACUUGUCAACACAGUCAUACACAUCCUGAAGGCCAUUGAGCUUGUGGCUUAUGGAAGAUGAUGAUGAUGAUGAUGUGGAAGCAGUUUGAGAUUGUCUCAACCUGCAAAGUUGCUCGUCGAACUCCGAAACUAGAGGGUGUGAUCUUGAUGGGAAACUGUUGGAUCGAGCGUGGAAGGUGGUGGCUGCCAUUUUUUUUAAUGUUUGGUGGUGAAGAAAGAUGAGAGAAGUUUUUGUGUUGAAGGUUGAGAGUGGUUGCUGUAGAUGAGAUGAAUAUGGCCUCUUAACAGAAAGAUUAUAUAGAGGAUAUGAAAAAGAGGAAGGUUGAAGGGACAUGAAAGGGACAGGAGGAAUC